rnacentral:lncRNA from 1 species
GUUGACGGAUUCCCAGAUCCGUUUAAGAGUUUUUAGAUUAUAUUAUGUUUUUGUUAGUUUUAUUUUUUAAGAUUUGUUUUUAUUGAUUUUAUUUUUUAAGAUUUGUUUUUAUUAAUUUUAUUUUUUAAGAUUUGUUUUUAUUAGUUUAUUUUUUAGGAUUUGUUUUUAUUAGUUUUAUUUUUUAAGAUUUGUUUUUAUUAGAUUUUUAUUUUAUUAGUUUUAUUUUUUAAGAUUUGUUUUUAUUAGUUUAUUUUUUUAAG